rnacentral:rRNA from 1 species
UACGUAGGGCGCAAGCGUUGUCCGGAAUUAUUGGGCGUAAAGAGCUCGUAGGCGGUUUGUCGCGUCUGCUGUGAAAACCUAAGGCUCAACCUUGGGCUUGCAGUGGGUACGGGCAGACUAGAGUGCGGUAGGGGUGACUGGAAUUCCUGGUGUAGCGGUGGAAUGCGCAGAUAUCAGGAGGAACACCGAUGGCGAAGGCAGGUCACUGGGCCGCAACUGACGCUGAGGCGCGAAAGCCAGGGGAGCAAACGGG